GAUCUAUUAUCGGCUCGAUUUCCAUCCGCCUGCUCGAUUGCUCGAAAACCGACGAUAUUUUUUGCAGUGCUGCUAUGAACAAAACGAAACACGAGCAGUUUUCAAUUGCAGCAAUCUGGGCGCGUGUUUCGUUUUGGUGCGUGAUUGUUGUGUUGUGAAUGUUUCCGCUGUUUUUGUUCAGAAACAUUUUGAGCGCUGUAGUAAAAAAAACCAUUGUCCGGCGAUAAUUUAAUAAUAAGCAAGUAAACAUCGGCUCAUGCAAACAAAGCUUCCAAGGAAAUGUCCCGUGGGUAAAAGCUUUGGUGGAAUUUCAUCCGGACCCACUCAGAGGUGGUCGCUUCACUUGGAUGACUUUUAAUUAUUUUUUGGCGUGAUACUUAAAAGUGGAAAGCAAGAUCUCUUGCGCUUGCAGUUCCAUGAUGUUAACGUAUGAAGUCGUAUGGGGUAUAUGGUCGACUUUGCCGGUCCAUCAUUUUAAUGCAAAAAAAACGCGCACAACCAAGGCGGGUAAAGCUAGGUGUGUUCUUAUACCAAUGCACGGAAUCGUCCAUCUUGUGACCCUUGUGACAGGCAAUCGUAAUCGUAGGCAUGGUAGGCGAACAAUUCGCUGUCAAAAAGCGCACCGUCUCCACCCCCCACCAAUGAGAAACUUUUAGUACCCCUUGCCUACUUUUCCUCAGUAUGCACCCACCCUACUGGAGGCACUCUGCGCACAACAGAAGAAGAGAAAAUCAAACAUAAAACUGGCCCCGUUUCCGUUUGUGAAGCUGUUUUCAUUAGUGGUUGCACUAAGCAAUAGCUAAUGCCUUCUUCAGCAGUCUCGCCAAACUGGAAAAGCGGUGAACUUGACGGUAAUCCCGGUGGAUUAGAACAAAGUCUUCGUGAAUCCUCCACUUCCAGCCGACAUAAUGGGAAGUUCAACACCGUCACUCAACUAUUAGCUUAAAAGCAGCAAAAACUGUUGGUGUCAGCAGCAACUGCAACAGCAGUAUCAGCAUCGGUUUUUCACCUGCUGCGUCGUCGAAACCUUCGGUGGCCGGAUCCAAUUUCGGGUCGACUAUGCGAGACCGCGCCCCCACAAUCUGCAACAAUAGGCUGUGCUAAAUCCUAAGUUCAGACAAUAGGUACAAACAGUCUUACUCCCGUUCGAUGUGAUCAUAGAAUGAAAGCUACAGAUUUAGAGGAAUACUAGAGCUGAGAACGAGUUGCUGGGAAUGAGGACGAUAACAGCUAUUUUUUUAGUGAAGUGCAGCAGUUGUAAUUGGAUCCACUAGAUGCAACAUAAUAAAAGGGGCGCUAAGACGGACGAAUGCUGUGGUCCUGUGUGUAUUCAUUGUAUACCGUGGAUUCCUCGCAAUGCAUGUGAAGACGUUUUUGGCUCAGGAGAUUGCCAUCGAUGCCAGUAUCAAUCUGCAGGAUAAUUGCACAUAAAAAGAAUCGUCCGUUCAACAUGACUUUUUUUAACUCAUCGCUUUUGGGAUUUCUACAAACAGCUAAAUCGGACGAUGUCGAUUCGAUGAUGGACGUAAAAGAGCGAAAGGUUACUUAUAAUGGUUUACCGAACUCUUUGACUCCGAAGUUUGUCCCAACCAAGCAGCUGUUGCUGAUGACUAUGAGUUCGAUUACGUAGCUUUGUAGAGUAGCUAAAGGAAUUCUAGUAAUUUGAUGACAGCUCCAGAUGAUGUUGAAGUAAAUAAAUAACGAUUUUCCACUUUCACUGACGAGUUGUUACCUUGUCGCGAUAGCGAUGCCACAGACACGGUCAGUGAAUGCAUUCGUCGAGAAAGUGGGUGAAACUAUAUUUGGGCCCAGUCAUAGCUUCCCUAUACCGAUCACCCACCGUACAAUUAAUAGCUCUGGUAUGGAUGUCCUUCACGUGCCUACAUCGUAGCCUCCACCGCUUGGUCGGUCCAGUGAAAAAGAUGCAUGCACUAUACUUUUGUCGGAAGAUGAAUCCCUCAAAAAGGGUUUUGGCACAAAAAACUAAACCCACAUUUCGAUUCGAUCACCCGGGAGUUUUUUUAGUUGCCAUAAGCAAUGAUACUAAUCUGCAGAAUGAUUCUGGUAGCCAUUUUUAUAGCCGUAACUUUUAACAUGCAACGUCAAAGAUGUAAAUGCGAGGAAAAUACAUUAAGAAAAAUUCAAUAAAAUAAAUUUGAAGAUGAUUUACCGUGAUUUACCAUCGAAAUAAACCUCCGGUGGUACAGAACAAGGUCAUCAACAAAAAAGCCCAGUAGCAACAGCAACAGAAGCAUCAAAGCUAGCCCAAAACUUUGAUUACGGAGGUGUUGAAAAACUAGUAUCUUGUCAACCAAUUUCGUAAAUUGAGUCUACCAUUUCCGAAAAUUUCGGAGGGUACGAAACCGCAGCUAGACCAAGUAUAUCAACUACUUCAAUCAAUAUUCCUCCGUAUUUUCUCGGAUAAUGAUGAAGUUGUGAAAAAAUCGGGAUCUCAACCUACUAGGAAAACAAGUUCGACUGCUACCACUGCAUGUGCUAUAACAACAAUUGGUGCACCAACGUUCAGCUCCGGAACGAUGACUGGUAAUUUGAGUGAUUCUAUUUAAGAUCAGUAUUGGUCAGUGAGAUCAUCGAAAGGAAUUUUAUUGAACAAGUUUUUUUUAAUGUUAUGUAAGUUAAACGACAUGCUAUCUAUUAAUCGAUGUCAUAUUCGUUUUUCUUUCAUUUCAGUUUCAGUCAACAGAAAAAAAUUUUACGGGCAACGUUCGGCUGCAUCAAUUCGAUGGGUUCCAGAUUGAAAAGCGGGACAAGUAUUCACAUGAGAUGAAACUGCCAAUAUAAACGUACCAACCAAAUCAUUAAAAUCAUCGAGUGUUUCAACAGCAUCAGACAAACAGAUACCACGGCCUGCCUAACCUACACUAUGAAGCACACAAGAAAAAAGUUCAACCUAAAUUCCUUGGCUGUGUACUCUGAAGGUAGUUAUGAUAAGUAAUGGAAGAGAAAGAGAAAUUGACGAACCAUCAGAUCUUACUAUUGCUAGAAUAGAAAUCAGGACAUUGAUGCCUGUCAAUAUUAAUAUUGUUCAAUAUUGACGCCAAUAAUGUGUUCUCACAAUUUGUCAUUAUAAUGUUUGUUAAUAUUUAAUAGACAUCUCAUACAAAAUAUGAAAAACAAAUAGAAAAAUCCAUUAAUUUGAGAAAAUUAGGUAAAGUCGGAGUGCUAUCGAUUUGGCCGACGAAGAAUCGAAUAAAGAGAAAUUCUGGUGCUCCUUUUUACGUGAAGACUUUUUUGAAACGUUUUUGUUAACAUUUUUAUUUUUAUUUUUAAUCUUUCAGAUUCUAUCGAAAUAUUCACAAACUGCUCUUCGAAGGCCCCAUUCUAAAAGAACUCUAGGUAGAUUGUAUGGAAUAUAUAUUUUUUACCACUCCCAACAAUGAAUAGAGCAAAUUAAUUUAAAAAAAAGGAAACCCAGUAGCGCCACGACCAAUGAAGAGCCGUCAUCUGGUGCUGGAAACGGUUCCGACGCAGUCAUUCCCUCAGUGGUUGCAUCAACAAUUUCCGUUCCGAAGGCCACCACCAUUCCUUCCAUCCCACCAGGAAUGUUCGCCCAACACAUCGUAUCAGCCGCUGCUUAUACCUCUUCUUGUGCCAUUACCGAUUAAGAAGCGGAAGAUGGUGACGACGAUUAUGCAUCGUUUCCAGCGAAUAUGAUCUUCGGUCAGUCAAAAUGGGCGAUGAAGAUUAGAAUCAGGUGUUCUGUGGCCGUUCAAAGUUGUUCAGGACGACAAACAGUUUAAGAGGCCUCGGCGAGUUGAAAUUUUGUGUAGCAAAACUGAUCCAAGCAAAUUUCGAAUUGUCAUGCGAGGCGAACAGAUGCACAAAAUUGCUGCCAACCAUUCGAUUGAAUAAGCUUGCGCCAAACAUCGCAAUGUUUUAUAGUCGAAGAGGCAGCAAACGAAUGUAUUAGAAGAACAAAAACUAAAAAAUAAACUAAUGAAAUAAAAAUCUAGCUUUUUGUAACAAAACCGAAAAACCUAAAUGAAUGGCAACAAUGCUAAUUGGCCCAGAAACGGUUCGAAAAACCGUUCUGUUUCGGUCCGAAAUCGGUCCUUUUUUACAGAUGGAUGCUAUGGCAAUCGGCCCAGAAUCGGUUCGAAAAAUCGUUCGGAUUCGGUCCGAAAUCGGUUCUUUUUUUCGGAUAGAGGCUAUGGCAAUCGACCCAGAAUCGGUUCGAAAAUUCGUUCGGUUUCGGUCCGAUAUCGGUCCUUUUUUCGGAUGGACGCUAUGGCAAUCGGCCCAGAAACGGUUCGAAAACCAUUAGGUUUCGGUCCGAAAACGGUUCGCUUGUUUUGACAUUUGAUCUGCUCGAACUGGUUGAAAAAACUUAUCGUCGUCCGAAAAAGUGUUUCAUUUUCGCACGAUUUUCUACUAAACUCGGCCCGAUUUCUUAUACGAUUUCGGACCGAUCGAGCAGAUGAA